rnacentral:rRNA from 1 species
GGAUUAAUGGCGAACGGGUGAGUAAUACGUGAGUAACCUGCCCUUGACUCUGGGAUAAGCCUGGGAAACUGGGUCUAAUACUGGAUACUACCUCUUGCCGCAUGGUGGGUGGUGGAAAGGGUUUUACUGGUUUUGGAUGGGCUCACGGCCUAUCAGCUUGUUGGUGGGGUAAUGGCUCACCAAGGCGACGACGGGUAGCCGGCCUGAGAGGGUGACCGGCCACACUGGGACUGAGACACGGCCCAGACUCCUACGGGAGGCAGCAGUGGGGAAUAUUGCACAAUGGGCGGAAGCCUGAUGCAGCGACGCCGCGUGAGGGAUGACGGCCUUCGGGUUGUAAACCUCUUUCAGUAGGGAAGAAGCGAGAGUGACGGUACCUGCAGAAGAAGCGCCGGCUAACUACGUGCCAGCAGCCGCGGUAAUACGUAGGGCGCAAGCGUUGUCCGGAAUUAUUGGGCGUAAAGAGCUCGUAGGCGGUUUGUCGCGUCUGCUGUGAAAGCCCGGGGCUCAACCCCGGGUCUGCAGUGGGUACGGGCAGACUAGAGUGCAGUAGGGGAGACUGGAAUUCCUGGUGUAGCGGUGAAAUGCGCAGAUAUCAGGAGGAACACCGAUGGCGAAGGCAGGUCUCUGGGCUGUUACUGACGCUGAGGAGCGAAAGCAUGGGGAGCGAACAGGAUUAGAUACCCUGGUAGUCCAUGCCGUAAACGUUGGGCACUAGGUGUGGGGGACAUUCCACGUUUUCCGCGCCGUAGCUAACGCAUUAAGUGCCCCGCCUGGGGAGUACGGCCGCAAGGCUAAAACUCAAAGGAAUUGACGGGGGCCCGCACAAGCGGCGGAGCAUGCGGAUUAAUUCGAUGCAACGCGAAGAACCUUACCAAGGCUUGACAUUCACCGGACCGCCCCAGAGAUGGGGUUUCCCUUCGGGGCUGGUGGACAGGUGGUGCAUGGUUGUCGUCAGCUCGUGUCGUGAGAUGUUGGGUUAAGUCCCGCAACGAGCGCAACCCUCGUUCUAUGUUGCCAGCACGUGAUGGUGGGGACUCAUAAGAGACUGCCGGGGUCAACUCGGAGGAAGGUGGGGAUGACGUCAAAUCAUCAUGCCCCUUAUGUCUUGGGCUUCACGCAUGCUACAAUGGCCGGUACAAAGGGUUGCGAUAC